rnacentral:misc_RNA from 1 species
AUCAAGGUUGUCAACCACAUAUAGCAGCGCAAAUGCCUUCAUCAGCUGCUGACCAGUAUCUGGGACUGAAGGCUUUUGAGGACCCUAGUAAUGAUGGGAUUCAAAGAGCUGCUCCAUAUGAAGGACUCUCCGGUUUGAAUGGACUAUUGGACAUUGUCCUGGAGCCUUCAUAUACUCCUCCACAGAAUCCCUUGAUGGAAGCACCUCAAUCACACACAAUCAGUCAUAAAUCAACUAACCCAUUUGAUCUUCCAUAUGAUUCUGAUUUGGAGCCAGGCAA